rnacentral:rRNA from 1 species
CUACGGGCGGCUCCAGUGGGGAAUAUUGGACAAUGGGGGAAACCCUGAUCCAGCAAUGCCGCGUGUGUGAAGAAGGCCUGCGGGUUGUAAAGCACUUUCGGUUGGGAGGACUGCUUCUAGCACUAAUAUUGUUGGAAGUUGACGUUACCUUCAGAAGAAGCACCGGCUACUCCGUGCCAGCAGCCGCGGUAAUACGGAGGGGUGCAAGCGUUAAUCGGAAUUACUGGGCGUAAAGCGCGCGUAGGCGGCUAGAUCAGUCGGGUGUGAAAGCCCCGGGCUUAACCUGGGAACUGCAUCCGAUACUGUCUAGCUUGAGUACAGGAGAGGGGAGUGGAAUUCCACAUGUAGCGGUGAAAUGCGUAGAUAUGUGGAGGAACACCAAUGGCGAAGGCAGCUCUCUGGCCUGAUACUGACGCUGAGGUGCGAAAGCGUGGGGAGCAAACAGGAUUAGAUACCCCCGUAGUC